UGGGGAAUCUUGCACAAUGGGCGAAAGCCUGAUGUAGCGACGCCGCGUGGAGGAUGAAGGCUUUAGGGUUGUAAACUCCUGUUAAGUGGGAAGAAAUGCUCAAAUCUAAUAAAUUUGGGAGAUGACGGUACCAUUAGAGAAAGCACCGGCUAACUUCGUGCCAGCAGCCGCGGUAAUACGAGGGGUGCAAGCGUUAUUCGGAGUGAUUGGGUGUAAAGGGUGCGUAGGCGGUAUGUUUAGUCAAUUGUUAAAUUUCCCAGCUUAACUGGGAGUCGGCAGUUGAUACUGGCGUGCUAGAGGGUGGAAGAGAGAAGUGGAAUUCUCGGAGUAGCGGUAAAAUGCGUAGAUCUCGAGAGGAACACCAAUGGCGAAGGCAGCUUUUUGGUCCAUUCCUGACGCUGAGGCACGAAAGCUUGGGGAGCAAACAGG
rnacentral:rRNA from 1 species